rnacentral:rRNA from 1 species
GACGGAGGGGGCAAGCGUUGUCCGGAAUUACUGGGCGUAAAGGGCGCGUAGGCGGUCGCGUACGGCGGUGGUGAAAUCGCCCGGCUCAACUGGGCGGGGCCCGCCGCAACGGCGUGACUGGAGGAUGGUAGAGGUCGAUGGAAUUCCAGGUGUAGCGGUGAAAUGCGUAGAGAUCUGGAGGAACACCCGAGGCGAAGGCGGUCGACUGGGCCAUUUCUGACGCUGAGGCGCGAAAGCCAGGGGAGCGAACGGG